AGCGAACGCUGGCGGCAGGCCUAACACAUGCAAGUCGAACGAACCCUUCGGGGUUAGUGGCGGACGGGUGAGUAACACGUGGGAACGUUCCCUUUGGUUCGGAAUAACUCAGGGAAACUUGUGCUAAUACCCAAAGUGCCCUCCGGGGGAAAGAUUUAUCGCCUUUAGAGCGGCCCCCGUCUGAUUAGCUAGUUGGUGAGGUAAUGGCACACCAAGGCUACGAUCAGCAGCUGGUCUGAGAGGAUGACCAGCCGCAUUGGGACUAAGACACGGCCCAAUCUCCUCCGGGAGGCAGCAGUGGUGAAUCUUGCGCAAUGAGCGAAAGCCUGACGCAGCCAUGCCGCGUGGAUGAUGAAGGUCUUAGGAUUGUACAAUCCUUUCACCGGUGAAGAUAAUGACUGUAGCCGGAGAAGAAGCCCCGGCUAACUUCGUGCCAGCCGCCGCAGUAAUAC
rnacentral:rRNA from 1 species